rnacentral:tRNA from 1 species
GCCAGGAUACCCAAACGGUUAUAAGGGCGUCGCUUUGAAGGUGUCUGUGCUAUAUGGCAUGGGGGUUCGAAUCCCUCUCCUGGCG